UGGCUCAGAGGUUAAAGCAUCUGCCUGAUAUGCAGGAGGCCCAGGUUCGAUCCCUAG
rfam:Ovis aries breed Texel chromosome 8, whole genome shotgun sequence.